GGCCUGGUGGCGAAAUGGUAUCGCGUCAGAUUUCGGCUCUGAAGGUUGCGGGUUCGAGCCCCGUCUGGGUCG
rnacentral:tRNA from 2 species